UUCUUCGGAAAGACACUAAGCGGAUUAGUGGCGAACGGGUGAGUAACGCGUGAGUAACCUGCCUUACACAAGGGGAUAGCCUUUGGAAACGAAGAAUAAUACCCUAUAAAACCAUAAAAGCACAUGCUAGAAUGGUCAAAGUGAUAGCGGUGUAAGAUGGACUUGCGUCUGAUUAGCUAGUUGGUGAGAUAAAAGCUCACCAAGGCAACGAUCAGUAGCCGGCUUGAGAGAGUGUACGGCCACAUUGGGACUGAGACACGGCCCAGACUCC
rnacentral:rRNA from 1 species